GUGCGCCCAGGCGGUAGCGCAUGCGCAGAGGGACAGCGGGAAAGGCUGCCUCUGAGGCGGAGCGCGGAGCCAGUCGCGAGCUGGCCUGACGAGGCCUGACGGGGCCUGUUCGCAGAACGAAGAGUCGGAAUCGGUGUUAACAACACGCGAUUGUGAGAGUCAGAAGAGCUCCUUGUUAUUUUUGAGGUCUACUCAGGAAGGUGAGUACCCCCUAGAAAAAGCUGGAGCUG
rnacentral:lncRNA from 1 species